rnacentral:rRNA from 1 species
AACGAACGCUGGCGGCAUGCCUAACACAUGCAAGUCGAACGAGACCUUCGGGUCUAGUGGCGCACGGGUGCGUAACGCGUGGGAACCUGCCCCUAGGUUCGGAAUAACUCCCCGAAAGGGGUGCUAAUACCGGCUAAUGUCUUCGGACCAAAGAUUUAUCGCCUUUGGAUGGGCCCGCGUUGGAUUAGCUAGUUGGUAGGGUAAAAGCCUACCAAGGCGACGAUCCAUAGCUGGUCUGAGAGGAUGAUCAGCCACACUGGGACUGAGACACGGCCCAGACUCCUACGGGAGGCAGCAGUGGGGAAUAUUGGACAAUGGGCGAAAGCCUGAUCCAGCAAUGCCGCGUGAGUGAUGAAGGCCUUAGGGUUGUAAAGCUCUUUUACCCGGGAUGAUAAUGACAGUACCGGGAGAAUAAGCUCCGGCUAACUCCGUG